UAUGGAAAGUUUAGAUUCUUC
rnacentral:piRNA from 1 species